rnacentral:rRNA from 1 species
AACGAACGCUGGCGGCAGGCUUAACACAUGCAAGUCGAACGGGUGUAGCAAUACAUCAGUGGCAGAUGGGUGAGUAACACGUGGGAACCCUCCUAGAGGUACGGAACAACUCAGGGAAACUUGAGCUAAUACCGUAUACGCUCGUGAGAGGAAAGAUUUAUCGCCUUUAGACGGGCCCGCGUCGGAUUAGCUAGUUGGUGAGGUAACGGCUCACCAAGGCGACGAUCCGUAGCUGAUCUGAGAGGAUGAUCAGCCACACUGGAACUGAGACACGGUCCAGACUCCUACGGGAGGCAGCAGUGGGGAAUCUUGGACAAUGGGCGCAAGCCUGAUCCAGCCAUGCCGCGUGAGUGAAGAAGGCCUUCGGGUUGUAAAGCUCCUUUGUCAGGGACGAUAAUGACGGUACCUGAAGAAUAAGCCCCGGCAAACUUCGUGCCAGCCGCCGCUGUAA